AGGUAUGCUUAGGGAAGAGCUUGCGUCACAUUAGUUAGUUGGUGGGGUAAUGGCCUACCAAGACGAUGAUGUGUAGCCGGGCUGAGAGGUCGAACGGCCACAUUGGGACUGAGACACGGCCCAAACUCCUACGGGAGGCAGCAGUAAGGAAUUUUCGGCAAUGGAGGAAACUCUGACCGAGCAAUGCCGCGUGAACGAUGAAGUAUUUCGGUACGUAAAGUUCUUUUAUUAGGGAAGAAAAGAUGGUGGAAAAACCAUUAUGACGGUACCUAAUGAAUAAGCCCCGGCUAACUAUGUGCCAGCAGCCGCGGUAAUACAUAGGGGGCAAGCGUUAUCCGGAAUUAUUGGGCGUAAAGGGUGCGUAGGCGGUUAAAUAAGUUUAUGGUCUAAGUGCAACGCUCAACGUUGUGAUGCUAUAAAAACUGUUUAGCUAGAGUUGGAUAGAGGCAAGUGGAAUUCCGUGUGUAGUGGUAAAAUGCGUAAAUAUACGGAGGAACACCAGAAGCGAAAGCGGCUUGCUGGGUCUUAACUGACGCUGAGGCACGAAAGCGUGGGGAGCAAACAGGAUUAGAUACCCUGGUAGUCCACGCCCUAAACGAUGAGUACUAAACGUUGGAUAAAACCAGUGUUGAAGUUAACACAUUAAGUACUCCGCCUGAGUAGUACGUACGCAAGUAUGAAACUUAAAGGAAUUGACGGGACUCCGCACAAGCGGUGGAUCAUGUUGUUUAAUUCGAAGGUACCCGAAAAACCUCACCAGGUCUUGACAUGCUUUUGCAAAGCUGUAGAAAUACAGUGGGAGGUUAUCAGAAGCACAGGUGGUGCAUGGGUUGUCGUCAGCCUCGUGUCGUUGAGAUGUUGGGGUUAAGUCCCCGCAACGCAGCGCAACCCCUU
rnacentral:rRNA from 1 species